GACGAACGCUGGCGGCGUGCUUAACACAUGCAAGUCGAACGAAGAGCGAUGGAAGCUUGCUUCUCUCAAUCUUAGUGGCGAACGGGUGAGUAACGCGUAAUCAACCUGCCCUUCAGAGGGGGACAACAGUUGGAAACGACUGCUAAUACCGCAUACGAUCUAACCUCGGCAUCGAGGAUGGAUGAAAGGUGGCCUCUAUUUAUAAGCUAUCACUGAAGGAGGGGAUUGCGUCUGAUUAGCUAGUUGGAGGGGUAACGGCCCACCAAGGCGAUGAUCAGUAGCCGGACUGAGAGGAUGAACGGCCACAUUGGGACUGAGACACGGCCCAGACUCCUACGGGAGGCAGCAGUGGGGAAUCUUCCGCAAUGGACGAAAGUCUGACGGAGCAACGCCGCGUGAGUGAUGACGGCCUUCGGGUUGUAAAGCUCUGUUAAUCGGGACGAAAGGCCUUCUUGCGAAUAGUUAGAAGGAUUGACGGUACCGGAAGAGAAAGCCACGGCUAACUACGUG
rnacentral:rRNA from 1 species